UAUUGGGGGUUCACUCUGCUUCUUGGAUUUGUAGGUUUAUGUCUUUUGCUACAUUUGGGAACUUUUGAUCCACAUUCCUCUGUUUAUGCCCAUUUUCCAGAGGUUAGCAAAUUCUGUUUGAGACCUUCUACAGCAGAGUGGACCAGAAGACAUGUGCUUUUUGGAGUCAGAUUCACGUUCCACCCCAGCCCUGUGACUUGGGAGACCCUGGUAAACCGCCGGCCUUCUGCUGCCCUGCUUCCCGUGUGACCGCUUACGAUGCUCCUGGCUCCUGAGGUGAGCGGCGCUCCCACGAUGCACUGCGCCUGGAAUCCGCGCUCCUCCGGAUUGCGGCGAGCAAACCAACGCUUUCCCCCGUGUGGACGUCAGAUCUCACGGGUGAACAUCAGGUCUGCAAAAAGAAAGCAAAAUAUUACGUUCCAAGGACCAGUGCUUGUGAUCAGGCGUCUGUAGUAGAGUUCAGCAGCUCCCCCCGUACCAGUGGGCCCGCUCAUGUGCCGCCUCCGGUCCCAGCGUAGAAGGCAGGCGGAGCGGGGAUUUUAGCAUGGCUGCUGGCGGGCAUCGCCUCCAUCUAGCACUGACUGCUCAGCGUGUCCCAGAAGCUUCCCUCUGCGACCAGAGCCCCGUGGAAGCGUGACCCUGACCACACUGGCCAUCGUCUAUGUUUCACAUCCAGUUUUCUUGUUAAAUGCGGUAAACCAAAGGAUCCCACAUCUUGUCCCACCGUGGUCUCUGCCAUGGACGUCAGAACAUCACCUGCAGGUGUGACGCCCCCGCCCUUCCUGGCCAGAGGGACACGUCCAGGGGCUCCGACCUAGAGACUGGACAGCACUGGCCACGACCUGGGAGCCCUGGCCGGAUGGCCAGGUUAGUGACUUGGGGGACGCGGGGGACCCUGGGCUGGCCUGGCCUCUCUCCCUGUGCUUCUUGCAUCUGCCUCUACGGGUCCUGCUGACCAGCGGCCGCACGGACCCAUGACUUCUUCACCACGAGAGCGUGUGAGUCCCAGAGCCGUGGUCAUCUCUGUCCUCGGAUCGUCAAAGGCUGGCUUUCGGGCUCUGCUUCCACAGUACAAAGCCAGACUCUGCCCUCCCACUGAAAUUGGAGCUGGUGGACAUCCCUACGUGUAGAACACAAAGGGAGGACACUGAUAAAGCCCACAGCACUUUGAAUGUCAGUAGCUGCCCUGCCCCAGCUUCUCCUGGACUUCAGCACCCCUUCUGCCCUCACCGUCGUCGUCUUUUCUGUCCUGGCACUGAAAGGGUUAAAUAUCCCAGGCCUCGAUUCAAACUUUCUUCAAGUACUUUAAACUCUCAAAAGCCGAAGCAGAGAUUAUUAUCACUUCCUGUUUGAGCCAGGCUCCUCAUCCUCUCUGGCAACUGUACUUCACUCUGUUUUCUUGGAGCUGGGAGGGCCCAGCCUCACCCUUCAAGCACCAAUAAAGCCCACAAUGCAGACCCAGAUAAGUGCCUGGCCAGAACAGAGCGUUCUGCCUGACACUGGGGCUAAUCACCGACCAAAAAAAAAAGAAACCUAGAGAUGUUGAAAGAAAGGUGCAGUAAGAGAAAGACUUUUAAUCUUUCAAAAUAAAAUAAAUAAAUAAAUAAAUAUUACUUCCACUAAUACAUUUGGAACACGUCUGAGAAAGAGCAAUUGUCCGAUUUAGACACAUUUAUUGAUCUGUAUCAUCCUGUUAUAUUUAUUUUUUGCUCUGUUCAGUCAUAACAUUGUUAGAAGAUCACUUGCGUAAUCUGAAGAGUGAGAAUGCAGUUUUUUCAAACAAGCGAGGGGAGAAGUGAAAAGAAGUGAGAAGAGUCGGCUGGUCCGUACGCUGCUCUCCCGUGUUGCUGGGGGCCUGGCGCGGGCUCUGUUCUUCCUCCAGUGGUGGGGCCGGAGCAAACCUGGCGAGUUACAGGCUUCUGCUGCUUUGCGUUUCCUGACUGCAGGACAUACAGUUGAAGUCCGACAUGCUCAUUAAACUCCAGUCUCAAAACAUUUCAAUCACCAACAAAUGUCCCCUGGAGAGAUGUUUUCGGAGUGGUUCACAGUCACAUUUUUAGUAAAUAUUUCACUUUUAUGCCCCAUGUAUCAUCAGCUGCUUCAAAAAAUAUAUUGUAAGUGUUCAGAUAAGGGAGAAAGUUUAUUUUCUUAAAUGGGAUGUUAAAGGAUCAGUUGUAUUUAGAAAGAGAAAUACAGUGUGUCUUUCUUGGUAAAUAAAGUAGUGUCUUUCUUGUC